rnacentral:lncRNA from 1 species
GGAAAACCGCCUACUCAAGCCUCAGCAAUGGCGGACACCCCUCCCCCGACCAAGCUCCAGCACCCCAAGUCAACUUCAGACUGCUGUGCUGGCAGCGAGAAUUUCAAGCCAGUAGAUCUCAGCUUGCUGGGUUCUGUACAGGAAGCCACAGCAAGGGGAACCCAGGAAACUGACACCGUGGCAAAAGUUAACCAGCCAGGCAUGGUGGCAUGUGCCUGUGGUCCCAGCUACUCUGGAGGCCGAGACAGGAGGAUGACAUGAGCCCAGAAGUUCGAAUCCAGCCUGGGAAACAUCUCCAGACCUCAUCUCCAACUCUAAGAAAAAGAAAAGAAAAAUGAAGAAUUGUUGCUUGCAUCCCAAAUAAA